AUUGAACGCUGGCGGCAGGCUUAACACAUGCAAGUCGAGCGGGGUGAUGGUGCUUGCACUAUCACUUAGCGGCGGACGGGUGAGUAAUGCUUAGGAAUCUGCCUAUUAGUGGGGGACAACAUCUCGAAAGGGAUGCUAAUACCGCAUACGUCCUACGGGAGAAAGCAGGGGAUCACUUGUGACCUUGCGCUAAUAGAUGAGCCUAAGUCGGAUUAGCUAGUUGGUGGGGUAAAGGCCUACCAAGGCGACGAUCUGUAGCGGGUCUGAGAGGAUGAGCCGGCACCCUGGGACUGAGACACGGCCCAGACUCCUACGGGAGGCAGCAGUGGGGAAUAUUGGACAAUGGGGGGAACCCUGAUCCAGCCAUGCCGCGUGUGAAGAAGGCCUUAUGGUUGUAAAGCACUUUAAGCGAGGAGGAGGCUCUUUUGGUUAAUACCCAAGAUGAGUGGACGUUACUCGCAGAAUAAGCACCGGCUAACUCUGUGCCAGCCGCCGCCGUAA
rnacentral:rRNA from 1 species